UACCACACCGGAACCCAUCAGAUACCAGAUUAAAAGAGAACUGUCCCUGACGGACUCGACGUCAUUGAACGUUUUGGAACCACCGUCGGAAUCCCUAGGGCUCGAUUUUACCGGCACCAAGACUUUAGAUGGAAACAUUAUUGUCAGCUGUGAGCUCAGUGCUUCAGCCUCGUUGGGGAAUCCACCUGUCAACCUGUCCAUUUGGCACAACGAUGAGAUCAUUGUUACAAGGGACAACACUCAUCUACUGCGCUACAAACUCAAGGCGGCAGAAGGCAACUUGACUUGCAGCAUCGUCGGAGACAGUGCACUGUGUCUAUCUGAGGAUCUUCGAGAUAUUAAGACUCUGGAUGUCAAAGGUUAGCGAUGCAACA
rnacentral:sRNA from 1 species